rnacentral:rRNA from 1 species
AUUGAACGCUGGCGGCAGGCUUAACACAUGCAAGUCGAGCGGAGUGAUGGUGCUUGCACUAUCACUUAGCGGCGGACGGGUGAGUAAUGCUUAGGAAUCUGCCUAUUAGUGGGGGACAACAUCUCGAAAGGGAUGUUAAUACCGCAUACGUCCUACGGGAGAAAGCAGAGGAUCACUUGUGACCUUGCGCUAAUAGAUGAGCCUAAGUCGGAUUAGCUAGUUGGUGGGGUAAAGGCCUACCAAGGCGACGAUCUGUAGCGGGUCUGAGAGGAUGAUCCGCCACACUGGGACUGUGACACGGUCCAGACUCCUACGGGAGGCAGCAGUGGGGAAUAUUGGACAAUGGGGGGAACCCUGAUCCAGCCAUGCCGCGUGUGUGAAGAAGGCCUUAUGGUUGUAAAGCACUUUAAGCGAGGAGGAGGCUCUUUUGGUUAACACCCAAGAUGAGUGGACGUUACUCGCAGAAUAAGCACCGGCUAACUCUGUGCCAGCCGCCGCUGUAA